rnacentral:lncRNA from 1 species
AUGAUCAUACAUUUCCUUCAGACUAGUCCAUAAUUCAAGUGGAUCUUUCGCUGUUAAAUAUCCAACCUUUAAACCUUCAUCCAAACGAUGACGAGGAAUAAGAACCCCCAAAAGAGGAAAGGAACAAAUAAUCAAGUUAAUCAUAACAUGGAGGCAAUUGCUCAAGAGGAAAAUAAAGACAUAAUAAUUGAUAAGACCUCACAGGAGGUUCUAGUACCUGGAAAUGAUGAAAAUGAAGAGAUCUAAGUUAUAUCUCUACGGGAAAAAGGUAGUACCUAAAUAACGUUGUUGUUGAAAACAAUUUUGCAAUAAUGUUGCAGUUGAAGUAAUGCAACAAGAUGGGGAUCUUGAGCCAAAAUCUGUCGAUGGAUGUAGACCUAAAUGACUAGCCAAAAUGGAAAAAUGCAAUUCAAGCGGAAUUGGCUUCAAUCGAAAAACACUAUGUUUUUGGACCAAUAGUCCAAACACCUGAAGGUGUCAAGCCGGUGGGGUACAAAUGGGUUUUUGUGCGAAAACAAAAUGAAAAGGGUGAAAUCAUAAGACAUAAAGCACCACUUCUGGCACAAGGGUUUUUGCAAAGACCUGGCAUUGAUUAUAUGGAGACAUAUUCUCCUGUUAUGGAUGCUAUAACAUUCUGUUAUCUCAUUAGUUUUGAUGUCCAUGAAAAGCUUGACAUGCAUUUAAUGGAUGUAAUUACAGCAUGCCUUUACGGCUCACUUGAUAAUGAAAUAUACAUGAAAAUUCCCGAAGGAUUUAAAAUGCCUAACGCACAGAAUUCAAAGUCCCAGGAAAUAUUUUCAAUCAGAUCUUUGUAUGGUCUAAAGCAAUCAAGAAGAAUGUGGUAUAACCACCUUAGUGAGUCUUUAUUAAAGGAAGGUUAUAUAAAUGAUGUCAUUUGUCCAUGUGUUUUUAUAAAGAAAACGACACUGGAAUUUGUUGUACUUGUCGUUAUGUCAAUGACAUAAACCUUAUUGGAACUCCUACAGAACUCCAAAAGGCAAUUGAUAAUUUAAAGAAGGAAUUCGAGAUGAAAUAUCUCGGAAAGAAAAAAUUAUGUCUCGGUUUGCAAAUUGAACGUUUGACACAUGGGAUUUUUGUUCAUCAAUCUGCCUACAUAAAAAGGUAUUGAAACGGUUUUACAUGGAUGGAGCACAUCCAUUAAGUACUCUGAUGAUUGUUCGAUCACUUGAUAUGAAUAAGGACCCGUUUCGACCUCCAGAAAAGAAUGAAGAGUUUCUUGGUCCUGAAGUACCAUAUCUUAGUGCAAUUGGUGCACUAAUGUAUCUUACUAACACUAUAAGGCCUGGCAUAACUUUUUCAGUUAAUGUAUUAGCAAGAUAUAGCUAUGUUCCUACAAGAAGACACUGGAAUGGGAUCAAACACAUAUUGCGAUAUCUAAAAGGGACUACCGAUAUGGGCUUAUUUUAUGGCAAUGAUUGCAAUCCUGAUCUUGUUGGUUAUGCCAAUGUUGGGUAUUCAUAUGACCCGCAUAAGGCUCGAUCUCAAACAGGUUAUGUAUUUACAUGUGGCGGCACUGCCAGAUCUUGGCGAUCGACUAAGCAAUCAAUCGUGGCUACUUCUUCUAAUCAUGCUGAGAUAAUUGUUAUUCAUGAAGCAAGUCGAGAAUGUAUUUGGUUGAGGUCUAUAAUACAUUUUAUCCGAGACAAAUGUGGUUUGAAGUGUGACAGACUACCCACAAUUUUGUAUGAAGACAAUGCAGCAUGCAUAGCUCAAUUGAAGGGAGGAUUCAUAAAAGGAGAUAGGACAAAACACAUUUCACCAAAGUUACUAUUUACACAUGAUCUUCAAAAGAAUGGUGAUAUCAAUGUGCAACACGUUCGUUCAAGUGAUAAUAUGGUUGAUUUGUUCACCAAAUAUCUAUCAACAUCAACCUUCAAGAAACUAGUGUACAAGAUUGGAAUGCGAAGACUCAAGGAUGUGAAUUGAUGCUCUCAUUAGGGGGAGUUAAUACGCGUUGUACUCUUUUUCCUUUACAAGGUUUUGUCCCACUGGAUUUUCCUUGCAAAGUUUUUAACGAGACAACCAAAAGUCGUAUUUCUAAACAUGUAUACUCUUUUUCCUAGUAAGGUUUUAACGAGGCACAUUAUCUAUGGACAUUCAAAGGGGAGUGUUAUGAUAAAUAUCACAUUAUGGUGCAUGUCUACUCUUCUUCCAUGAUCUUCAUCUCAAAAUGACAUAUUCCAUGGCAUAUUUUCUUCACUUUUUAUGCAUAUAUAAAGGCCUUGUAAUAAAUAGGAAAAUACACACAAUUGAAGAAGAAAAUCUCUUCCUUCUUUCUUUCUCUCUAUAUCUCUUUAACUUGUUUUUCCUUGUUCUAUAUUGUUAUUUUUGAGCUACAAUUCUUAACAAUAUAGUAGUAGUAGUAUAGUAGUAAUAAUAGAAGUUUUCUACCAAGUCUAAAAUGUAUUUCCAACUAGUACGUAUCACCUAUUUUUCUUUUCCAUUGUGCCCUAUCUUUACCUAAGUUUGCAUUGGUUACUAUCUUGUUUACCUCAUUCCAAUACUCAACACUUCGUAUUUUCGACAAAUUGUAGCUUUUUAUACUAUGUCUCUAGAUCUCACACUUAUCCCUACAUUGCCGUAAAAAUUUCUAAUGAAAAUCAAGAAACCUCUGUCAAACAUGCGGCCUAAUGGAAAACAUAUCAAUAACAACUAAACCUUUUUUUUGUAAGGAAUAACAACUAAACCUUAAUCUCAAAUAAUUGACAACACCUAUUUAGAUCCAUUUCUUAAUUAUGUUUUCGUAUUAGCUAAAUUCUCAUGGAUUCUAAAAGAUUGUAAGUCUUUUCGGACAACUCCCCCACCAUGUGAUUUUAAAUCUACCUCAUCACGUUUGAGUUUUGACCACCUUCAAUCAUCAUGGUAUCACACGUAUGGACCGUGCAUUUGGAGGUCUACGUGGAGCAAGAAGAAACCAUCUUUAGCUAUCAUUUUAUACAAGUAAAACGUGGUCCAUCUUAACUGCCGCAAGAAUACGACACUCGUUUUCUUUUUAAGACAAAAAAGAAUACAACACUCAUUUUGCGAAUACACAAACAACACUACUUUUAUUAUUAGGUGUAUAUAGCAUUAUUACUCACAAAACUUUCAACAACGCAUGCUUUCACUUUGUAUGAAUCUUAAUAUUGUGUAGCACAUUUAUAGCACUCCUUCAUUAAUUAAGUUAUACGUAAUCUUAUAAUAUCAAAUAUUAGGUGGUUAUGGGGGCAUGGAGGAGUAGUAGGGACGCCGGAUGCUAGUGGUAUGUGGAACAUGACAGCAAACUACAUUAGGGAAGCGGAUAGAGAGGUGCUAGGGCUCUUGAAGAGUUACUCCGAUGGGCACAAAGGAGACUGUUGGUGGAACACUGAGGUUCAAGGAAAAGUAGAAGCCAGGAAAGCAGCAUAUAUGAAGCUAUAAACAACAACAAGAAGGAGAAGAGCAUGAAUUAGGAGAGAUACAAGAAGGCCAAGAAAGAGGCAAAGCUAGCAGUUGCAGCAGCUAAGACUGCGGCGUUUGGACGUUUGUAUGAAGAGCUUAGGGAGAAAGGUGGAGACAAAGAAACGAUACAGGCUAGCCAAGGCGGGAGAAAGAAAGGCCCGUGGCAUUAAAGAUGAGGAAGGCAUAUUGGUGGAAGAGGCGCAUAUUAGACGUAGAUGGCAGACAUACUUCCAUAAGCUCCUAAAUAAAGAGCGGGACAGAGUCAUCGAGUUGGGUGAUUUGGAGUACUUCGAGAAUCAUCGAGAUUUUAGUUAUUGUAGGUGUAUAAGAAUUGAAAAGGUCGAGGGGGCUAGGCAUCAGAUGAGUAGAGGAAGAGCGGCCAGAGCCAGACAAGAUCCGGUGGAAUUUUGGAAAAGUGCGAGCAGGCGGGCUUGGAAUGGAACAUUCGGUUGUUUACCAGCAUUAUUAGGACGAAAAAGAUGUUUGAAGAAUGGAGGAGAGUACGAUGAUUCAAUUGUACAAGAACAAGUGUGAUAUCCAAAACUGCCAUAAAUGUAUGGGUAUCAAACCGCUAAGUCAUAUUAUGAAAGUUUGGGAGAGCUGGUGAAGUGAGUGUAAGGAGCGUGUCUAUUUCUAAAAAUCAAUUCGGAUUCAUACUAGGGCAUCCGUCUAUGGAAGUCAUUCACCUUGUAAGGAGGUUCGUGGAGCAGUAUAGGAAGAGGAAGAGGAACUUACAUAUGGUGUUUAUUGACCUAGAGAAAGUAUACGACAAAAUUCCGAUGGAGGUUCUAUGGAGAUGCUUGGAUGGUAAAGGUGUUUCUGUUGCUUACACUACAAUGAUUAAGGACAUGUAUGAUGGAUAUAAAAUCUAGGUGAAAACAGUAGAUGGGGUCUCGGACCAUUUUUCAGUUGUGAUGGGGUUGCACAAGGGUUCAACUCUUAGCCCGUUCUUAUUUGCCUUGGCCAUGCAUAUACUUAUGCGACACAUUCAAGGGGAGGUGCCUUGGUGUAUGUUAUUUGCGGAUGAUAUUGUAUUGAUUGACAAGACGUGAGGCGGUGUAAAAGCAAAACUGGAAGCCUAGAGACAGAUCCUGAAGUCUAAAGGUUUCAAGUUGAGUAGGACCAAGACAGAAUACUUGGAGAGAAAGUUUAGUGACCGGACCGAUGAAGAGGACGUGGACGUGAGACUUGAUACAUAAGUCAUCCCUAAAAGAGAGAGUUUCAAGUACCUUGGCUCUAUUAUCCAAGAAAAAGGGGAGAUUGAUGGAAAUGUUUUAUAUUGUAUAUGGAGACAUGCAUUGGGGUGUGUUAUGUGAUAAGACUGGGCCAACUAAACUUAAAGGUAAGUUCUACAGAGUAGUUGACAGACUGACUAUAUUGUAUGAGACAGAGUGUUGGACAGUCAAGAAGAGUAGAGUAGCAAAAAUGAGGAUGCAAAGAUAGAAGUGUGAGCAUACCAGGAUGGAUAAGAUUAGGAAUGAAGAUAUUUGGUCUUGGGGCUCCGGUGGACAAGAUGUAGGAAGCGAGACUUAGAUGGUUUAGGCAUGUGAAAAGGAGGAAUGCAGAUGCCCCGGUGAGGAGGUGCGAAAGGUUGGCCCUGGUAGGUUUGAAGAGAGGCAGAAGGCUAGUAAGUAGUCGUGUGUUUCUUUUACAUACCAGUGGUAUUAGUGUUAGCCUGGUGCGAUACUAUUGUUAUAUUUCUAGUUUUACGCAUUGUCCUUUUGCUUCGUUUUCUUGUUAUCUUGUUAUCGUUAAUGCUUGUGUUACUGCUUUAUUUUCAUCUUGCCUUGAGUCGAGGGUCUAUCGGAAACAACCUCUCUACUUUUCAAGUAAGGGUAAGGUCUGCGUAUACACUACCCUCCCCAGACCCCAGUUAUGGAAUUAUAGUGGGAUUCUUGUUGUAUUAGAUUAAUAAUUUAUUGAUGUGGGAAAGAUUUGUAUGCAAACAAUUGGUACAAAAUUAGUGCACCUAGAUAAGAACAGAAAUCUUUCUGCAUUUCCUAAUUAUAGAAGCAAAUUUGGAUAUUGUUAUUGUCCAUACGCUAAUAUGUGAGUACAAGAAAAUGGAUAAUCUAGCAUUCUAAUGGGAGCUCUAACAUCUAAAACUGGGCAACGCACAUCUACAUUGCAAAAACUGACGCCUCUCCGUUUUUUUUUUUUUUUUUUGAUAAGGAAAACUGACGUCUCUCCUUUUCCUAGUUGCAGAUACCUUUUAAUCUUUUGCCCCAAUUUUAUAAACAGCUAUAAAAUACUUGGAAAAUCAUCUAGAUAUAUAAGCUAUCAAAAUUCAAUUGAAAUAUGGAAAGGAGAAGACGAGUAUCAUAUUUCUUUGUUACACAUAUACAAGCAGCUAAUUCAUUUUUUCUUCUCUCUCACACACAAAAAACAGAGUGAUGGCAAAACUCACAGAAAACAAAAAAUCAACUUUAACCUUUGCAAUUGGCAACAAUAUUUUCAGUAGUCUGAGGAAGAGUAAAAUGACUCCAUAUCUUCUUUUUUAAUAAAAAGUGAGUAGUGACACUGAAAAAUCAAACCCUAAAUAUCUGAUGCACAGUACUUCCCAAUAAACUCAGUUGCAAUUACGUCGAAUUGUCUCAGUCGGAGGCAAAAUCCUAGUAAACUGAGAACUUAAAUCGUUCCUCUUCCGAACACAUUGUCACCAUAAAUCAUCACAUAACACUAAUUCAUUCAAUACGAAUGCAGAAUACUAGAAUCAACUAAUGCCGUCUCCAUAAAUAGAUAUCAUUACGUAGAAACUAAAAUAAAUCAAUCUGCACAUACAUACGACAACAAAAACAACAACACCUUCGCCUCGCAGAUUAGUUAAGAUCAGAUAUAUGAAUAAAAUUUAUUUAUAAGACAAAUUAGGGUGUCUCUAAAUUGAACAAGAGGAACUUCAAUAAUAACAAAAAUGAACAUAUUCGAUAAUGCAUUUUAUAUAGGUUUAAUUGAAAAGGGGAUAUUUUUAAUACCUGAAGAGGCUGAUCAACUUGAGAAAGGAGAUCUGAAGAGUGGUGAGGUAAGAGACUAAGCAGAGCAGAGAGAGCAAUUUCUGUAUGCUUUGGUGGAAUUCUUCUCAUCAAUCCCAUAGCUGCUUCCAUUUCUAUGGCUUUCUCCCUCUUAGAGAGAGAAAUUGGGACAGAAUGAUUUUGGGGCAAGUUGUAGAGAGAGGAAGAGGAGGCGCGUUGUUUUGAUCCGAGCUUCCCU